rnacentral:lncRNA from 12 species
GGCUGGGGGGUGGGGAGGAGCCACUAGCUGCCUCCAGAUCCAGAGAGAGGAGGUGGAGGAGGCACAGAGACGGAGCAGCAGAGGGAGAUGACUGUCGUGCCCCUGGGCAGUGGAGCCCCUCCAGUGCCCACAUUCUGUGUCCUGUCUCGUGAGGUGACCAUCCUAUUAGUCUUUGGCCUCUGCCCUGGAGCCCAUCCCGCCCCUCAGCUGCUCCGUCCCAGCCUGGACUGCCAUCUGGGCCCCCAUCCCCAGAGCCGCGUGACCAGGGUCUCAUUGGAGAGGAGGAAACUGAGGCAGGUCUCAGCCCUACAGUAGAAGCAGACGAGGCAACAGAAGGCCCUCUGCUGAGCGGCGUGGAGCUGAGCGCUGAGCUGGGUGGCUGUGCACGGCCAAAGCACCAGAGUGGAGCCGAGUGAGGGAUGAGGUGCUGGCUCCUGCCAGGGCGGCCGGGGGGCCGUGCCAGCACUGGGGGUACCUCACCUCGGGAUCCGUGUGUGUCUGCCUCUGCUGGAAGGAGAGCUUUAGAAUAUCCUCGAUUUAGAAAUGUGCUUGCUGUUUGGUGGGUUCCUCAGUAUAAUGUGAUGAACUAUGGCUCCCAAAAGAUAUGUUCACGUCCUAAGCUCCAGAAUGUGUGAAUGUGACCUU